GAUCAUACUCCUCACUCCAUCAAGCCUCAUUUGAGUCAUUUCCCAGCAAAUUAAACCAAGUAAAAGUAUCCCCUUUAAACCCCACAUUCCUCUCUGUUUCUACGCACCACCACCGUAACACCGCCUCCUCUGCAACCUACUUCCACCACAUGAAUGACUUGCUCCCACUCUCGAUCACCAUGUACGACCACUAACCUCCGAUAUCAAGCUUUAAUUAUAGCAUUCCGUUGUCGAACCCGAAACCCGAACUCACUCCUCCCAUCUCUUCUGGAGUACGACCACCAAACGUUGCUACACGGACCAUCGCCGUUCUGCCUCCCUUACUUCUGACCACAUGACCUCCACCUUAGAACUACCUUUGUACCGCCUCUCGCAAGUCCUAAUUCCUAAACUACCUCCCUCAUUUUUCUGUUCGUGGUGGUUAGAAAAGACCAACGUUGGUCUCUGGAUUCUCCAAUUUGGAAACAUGUGCACCUAAAUCCUAAAAAGUCAACUCUUGUGGGCCUUACUAACUAAUAAGACAUAACGUUAUAAAUGGUAUUCGGAGCUCGGAAGAACGGUCCAUCAAACGGGAAGUAUAAAACUACGGUUGAGGUACAAAGAAGAUCAUGGGAUGCCUUAGAGUGAGGAUGCAACCAUCAAAUUCACGAUCGUUCUUUAGUAAAGAUAACUAUGUCUCACUAGUAAUAAUGGAUGUAUUAAUUAAACUCUAGUUUAAUUGCAAGAAAUGAGUUAGACUUUUAUAUUAAUAUUUAAUCAAUGUUAGGAGUAUGUAUUAUUAAAGUUUAUUUAGUAACUUAAGAAGUAUUUUGUCGCCUUGUAUUCCCGCGAGGGAGAUAUGGCAUGCGACGCUCCGACUAAAUUAGGAUUUCCGCUGCUAAUUAAACAUAAUUAACCUAAUUAAUGGUGUUUAGAAGUCGGGGCGUUACAACAUGUACUCCCUCCGUCCCGGAAUACUCGACCCGGUUUGACCGGCACAGAGUUUAAGGGACUUGAAUUGACUUAUUUAAUUUAAUAGGUAGUAGUUGAUAGUGGGAUAUUAUUUUAAUAUAGUUAGUGGGAAAUGUGUAAAGGAGUGGGGUUGGGGGAGAGUAAGGGUUGAAUUUUUAAUUAUUUUUUGUAUGGAGUAGGGAGUAGGUGGGUUAAUAGGGGUAGAGUGAGAAAUAAUAUAAUAUUGUUAGAAUAUUUCCAUUUUUAGAAACAGGUCAAGUAUUAAUGGACGACCCGAUAAGGAAACAGGUCACGUAUUCCGGGACGGAGGGAGUAAUAAUUUAAUCAUGAAAAUCCCUAAUUUCCAAUCACAAGCACUCAAACCAAUCAAUGUUGAGUUUUCACCAAACCCUAAUCAAUAAACUACUCAAUCAACAUAAACACAAAAUUUAUAGAAAUUAACAACUAAAAACAUGGUUCUAAACAAUAAUAAGAACUAAUCUAAAUAUGAAUCAUUAAGCUAAACAAAAAAAAAUUGAACUAAUUAAAACAAUAAAUGAAAACAAUAAAUAAGGAGAUAGAGUAAGAAAUUGUUCAUUGAUUAAUUGGUUGAUCCUUCCAUACAAGUUGUCACCCUUGAAUUUCAAAAGCCCAAUUUUUCAUUGAUUUUCCCUCACUUUCUCUCACCAAAAACUAAUCUUAUACCCUGAACCCUAAGAAAAAGACUAAUUAUGUACGGAGUACAUUUUUUUUUUGAAAGAUAAGUUUUUUUUUUUUUUUUUUAAUAGGAAAGAUCGUAGAUUUCAAUUCUACGACAAGAAAAUCGGGUACCCAAGUGGGUGACUAAUUAUGUACAUUGUAAGUUUUUUUAACCCAAAUUUUGGUAUUUAUACUAAGGCCUAAAAAAAAGGAAAAAUAAAUAAAGAGAAAAGAAAAUAAAUAAAGGAAAUUAAAACAAAAGAAAAGAAAAGAAAAGAAAAAGAAAAAGAAAAAGCUAAACUAAAGUACUGUAAAACUAAUUAAAAGAAGAAAAUAAGAAAUAAAAAAAUAAAAAGAAAAAGGAAAAGCCUUAAAGCAACUCUAAUGGUUACAAAAUGGACCUGCUCACAAAAAAAUGAAUAUGUGAGCAGGUAGCCCACCAUUGGUACAACAAUGACAUAAACAACUCAAAAAAUCUUGUAGCUAUUUUGGGCUACGUAGCUCAAAAAUAAUAUAGCUCAAAUAAAUAAAUUAUUUAAAAUAAAUAUUAUAGGGAGCUACAAAGUAUUAUAGCCCACCAAUAUGAUAAAUUAUAGUUUUAAUCAAUUAUAGUUAAAAAUUUAAUGUGGCAAAUUUAGCCACAACAUAUUGUAACAAAUGCUCUUAAACAAUGAGAACCUCACAAAAUCAAAAUGUAUCCGACAUUUUGAACCAGAACCCCCUUUUGUUGUUUUGUCUUUUUUCGCCCCCUUUCCCCUUCGUCCAUUUUCGUCCAAAUUAAUUGGGGUUUUCUUGCUCCCUGCUUCACUGCGCCUCAUCUCCUCAAUCAUCAUCCUCGUCCGUCAUCAUCUAUCAAUCAUCAACCGUUCAUCAGCUUCCAUCAUCAAUCAUCACAAUCAAUCAUAGGCUUCCGAUUUCCAAUCACCCAACCCCAAUUCGAAGAACAAACAAUCACAACCUUUCACUCUUCAAUCAAAUCGCAGCCUUCAAAUGGAGUUGUACGGCGAAAAAUCGAGGGCACCAACAAUGAACCACCAAGGCAAGCACGUGACCUUCAUUAAUUCCGUACAAGAACUCGACCGCCCAAAUGUUCGGACGAACUGAUAGUAGGUCCGGUCGAACUUAGUGGUGGUUUGGGCGAACUUCAUUCAGCUGGUGUUGUGCAUGGUUGUGUUGGAUGGCGGCGGUGAUAACAGUAUUGUUGGUGUUGCUUGGUGAUGCGUGGUAGGUUGCGAUGAAUGUACGGUGGAGAUUGGUGUUGGAGGAGCAGCGGCUGGGCAGCGUUGAGAGAUGAGAGCUGCUCCGCGGUGGCUAUUGUGUGGUUGAAAGAUGAUGGGCGCUGCAGUACUUUGUUUGUGUGGCGAGUAGUAGAGAAAGGAAGAAGAGUUGGGUGGUGGUGAUGGAUAAGACAAGAGUGGUGGUGUAGGCUAAGCUAUGCAAUGUUGCACCAUUCUUGGCAGCAGUUUGGCCCAAGUUUUGAGGCCCACAAGCCACGAAGUCCAUAAUCCAAUUCUUUAGUGAAGAAAUUACUUCUCUCAUGCGUGAUUCAAUUUCUUUUCCCUGUUAUUGAAAUAUGGUGCUAAUUAUCACUUAUCAUCAGGUUGUGUGAAGGUGGAGAGUUGCUGGAUCGAAUAUUAUCUAAGUAAACAAUGUUCUAUUCAGCCGCGUUUUCAUGAUGUUAUUUCCAGAAGCGUUAAUGUCAAAUUUUUGUUACAUAAAUGUUCUAAUGUUAAUUGCUUUUGUUAUCCAAAUCAGAAAGGAUAGCUGGUAUUAAGAGAAAGACGCAGCAGUGGUGGUGCGUCAGAUGUUGAAAGUCGCUGCUCAGUGUCACUUACAUGGUUUGGUUCACCGUGAUAUGAAACCUGAGAAUUUUCUUUUCAAGUCGCCUAAAAAGGAUUCAUCUUUAAAGGCCACAGAUUUUGGACUAUCAGGUUUCAUAAAACCUGGAGAGUAGAAAAAAUUAACAUCAAUUUUGGAUAAUUAGUUCUCUUAAGCCUAGUUCUGGAGGAUCCUAUGGUUCAUCCUUUAUGAGUGUUAUCCAUUUAAAGGGAGAAAAUUCAUAGAUAUUGUUGGUAGUGCCUACUAUGUGGCUCCAGAAGUACUAAAACGAAAAUCAAGUCCAGUGUCCGAUGUUCGGAGUAUUGGUGUCAUCACCUAUAUAUUACUUUGUGGCAGACGCCCAUUUUGGGAUAAAACUGAAGGUGGUGUUUAAGGAGGAAAGAUUUAAAGUUGAGACGGCUCAGUAGUACAAGCUCGCUACUGGCAGGUAUUUGGAGUCUUCAUUUUAAACAGAGGAAGAAUAUUUGAACUCUCAAGGGAUGUCUCCAACGUUGGCAACAAUACCAGUGCUGAUAGGUCUUUACAGAGCCCUUUCAUAUGUUGCUAAUGAGGAUACUCACAGUGCAGGAUACUCAAAGAGGUUGAUGAAGAACUUUCUGAGAUUAUCAACUAAUUCAGGUGUGGCGUCAGCAACUAUUCUCAUAACUUUGUAGCUAAUCUGAGGAAACGAAAAAAAUAAAAAAAAUUAGCAUUUCACACAAUUGAGUUGCUUCAGUAAAAAAAAUGAUGGUUAAAUUACAUUUAUCAAAUUGGAUAGAACAGUAUAUUCGGUUUCCUCUCUGAAUGAUGCAAUCAAAGUCAACAAAUUUAUCAGAGAUUGCUGACUACUGGUACACAGGGCAAACAAAUCAUCCAGAACACCUGUUGGUAAGAAGUUUAAUGUCAAACAAUUACAGAACUAUUUAUAUAAUAGAAAUGACACAAUAAAGCCUGCACAAACAAACUUACCAAAUCUAUCAGUUGCAGACAAUUGGCCACUCUCUAUAGCAUGUCGAAGUUUAGCUCCAAGUUCUUCAUCAUAUUUCACUCUAUAAAACCCAGUCUGGUCCACAUUAAGCUUAACAUAAGCAGCAUCUUUGAUACCAAGACUUCCAGACUUCUCUUUCAGGAGAUAACUGUAACGGUUAUCGUAGGAUCCGCAACAUAAAGUGAUUGGGACAAUCCAUUGGCUAUCACUAGGGGAACCGCUCAACAAAAAGUGUGACUGUCAUCAAUUACACAAUGUUAGAUCUAGAAGUUAUAUAAGACAUUAACAAGGAAAAGUCCAAGUGGUUGGUAAUUAAUUAAUUUCUUGUAGUGGUAGCGCACUAGACCGAAAGUAAAAAAAAUUACGAAGUAUAAAUUAAGCGCAUUGCACCUGUUCUAAAUCGAGCUUCUCGUCUUUGACCCUCACGGAAACAACCGGAUAUCCUUUCUGCUGUGUCCAUGAAUUCAUUAGUUCCUUUACUGGUUCACCAGAUACCUCCUCAAGAACAGCCCAUAGGUCUUCAGUCUUUGCAUUUGAGCAAGCAUAUUUCUUUAUGUAGCAUGCCAGAGCUCUCUG